rnacentral:rRNA from 1 species
AUGGCUCGCACGGCCACUCCGCUCUCGGCGCUGCUCCGCGGCCUCUCUUCCCGCCCUUCCCACUCCCCCGCAUUCCACGCCGCGCUGCUCAAGUCAUCUUCCCUCUCCAGCCCCAACCCGGCCACCGCCCUCCUUACCGCCUACGCAAAAGCCGGCCUCCCAGGCGCCGCCUCCCGCCUGUUUGACGAAAUGCCCGUGCGCGACGCCGUUGCCUGGAACGCGCUCCUUGCAUGCCAUGUCCGUCACGCGCGCUGCGGUGCCGUCGCUGAAGUCUUCCGCGGCAUGGCGGCUGCCGGGUUCGCGCCAACGGCCGCCACCCUCUGCACCAUGCUCAAGGCCUGUGCUUCCUCCCGCGCAGUCCGCCCCGGCCGCCAGGUUCAUGCGCGGACAGUUCUUGCAUGCCACGGUGAUGUCAUUAUGACGACAGCUCUUGUUGAUCUCUACAUGAGCUGCGGCUGUGUCGAGGAGGCGAAGAGGCUGUUUAUCCACACGGACUGCCCCAAGGACGUGGCGCUGUGCAACUCUGUUCUUUCAGGAUGCGUGGAGAAUGGCCAGUUCCGGGAGGCUUUCUUGAUGCUGAGGGGAAUUGAACUCAAUGGAAUCACACUGACUUGCGCUCUCACAGCUUGCUCAGCCGCAGCAAAUCUGGCAUACGGCCUUCAAGUGCACUGCAAGGUUCUCCGAUGCGGGUUUGAUUCUGAGACUGUCCUAUGCAAUGCACUUAUUGACAUGUAUGCAAAGUGUGGGCGGACAACGGCUGCACGUGUGGUGUUUGAUCGGAUGACUUGCAGAAACAUUGUUUCCUGGUCUAGCAUGAUUGAUGGUUAUAGUCGCCAUGGGCAUGGCAAAGAGGCUUUGGAUUUGUUUGAGGGGAUGGAGAAAGCUGUACCCAUUGUCUUGCCUAAUGCUAUUACAUUUCUUGCUGUUCUCUCAGCUUGUGGACACUCUGGUCUUGUGGAUGAAGGCCGGUCCAAGUUACAUCUGAUGAAAAGAAAGUAUGCAAUUGAUCCAGGACCAGAGCACUACGCAUGUUUUAUUGACAUGUUAGGCCGGGCAGGACUGAUUGAUGAGGCAUGGGAUCUCUACUGUUGUUUACAUUCGAAUAAAAGUCAGCUCCAUGGUGCAAUCUGUGUGGCUAUGCUGAAUGCAUGUAUGGCUAACAUGGAUGUGGCAAGAGGAAACAUGGUUGCUGAGCAUAUUAUGGAGGUUGAUCCACAGAAUCCUCGAAAUCUUGUGUUAAUAUCAAAUUUUCACGCUGCUGCUGGACAAUGGUCUAUAUCAGAUGGAUCAAGGAAGGUUAUAAUGGACAAGGGUCUCAAUAAAGAAGCAGCUAGUAGUCAUGUCUCCAUUGGCUAA